AAAUGGUCUACCGAAUUACGUAUCGGAUUCUGGGCGUAAGCGCGCGUAGCGGUUUGUUAAGUCAGAUGUGAAAUCCCCGGGCUCAACCUGGGAACCGCAUUUGAAACUGGCAAGCUAGAGUCUCGUAGAGGGGGGUAGAAUUCCAGGUGUAGCGGUGAAAUGCGUAGAGAUCUGGAGGAAUACCGGUGGCGAAGGCGGCCCCCUGGACGAAGACUGACGCUCAGGUGCGAAAGCGUGGGGAGCAAACAGGAUUAGAUACCCUGGUAGUCCACGCUGUAAACGAUGUCGAUUUGGAGGUUGUGCCCUUGAGGCGUGGCUUCCGGAGCUAACGCGUUAAAUCGACCGCCUGGGGAGUACGGCCGCAAGGUUAAAAACCAAAUGAAUUGACGGGGGGGCCCCCCCCCGCGGAGCGUGUGGUUUAAUUCGAUGCAACGCGAAGAACCUUACCUACUCUUGACAUCCAGAGAACUUUCCAGAGAUGGAUUGGUGCCUUCGGGAACUCUGAGACAGGUGCUGCAUGGCU
rnacentral:rRNA from 1 species